CCCGUCUGGGGACCGGGAACCGGAGGUGGCUCUGCUCCGGGAGGCCCCGGCCGCCGCAGCGCCCUGUGUCCCGUCGCCCUCGGCGGCCUGCGAGAUCACCAAGUGUGUUUCCCUACGUUGUACCGGGAAAUCGAGGCCGGGGGAGAGACGAAGCGACUUUCCCUUGUGCUGAGACCCCAUCGCUCAACUCCGGGGACACCCUCUAGAAGUGUCGGGUCCCAGGUGGAAAAGCGUUGUGUCAGGUUCCCUGACUCUUUCUGGAGCUUCAGAGAAGCAUGAGUCCUGUGCAGCACACCUAGGCUGGAGGGGACCUUCUUCAGACACAUCUCUGUGCAGUGAGCUUCUCCAGUGGAUGUCCACUCUGGGUUCCCCAAUCUUGUGAGCUGAAGCACGUGGUGGCAAUACUCUUCUUGUCAGCUUGCCCCCUGAAGAACAAUCUCGCUACAUCUAUACUCUGAAAAUGGAG